AUUGAACGCUGGCGGCAGGCCUAACACAUGCAAGUCGAACGAGUGGCGGACGGGUGAGGAAUGUCUGGGAAACUGCCUGAUGGAGGGGGAUAACUACUGGAAACGGUAGCUAAUACCGCAUACCAUCGGAUGUGCCCAGAUGGGAUUAGCUAGUAGGGGGGGUAAAGGCUCACCUAGGCGACGAGCCCUCGCUGGGCUGAGAGGAUGACCAGCCACACUGGAACUGAGACACGGGCCAGACUCCAACGUGAGGCAGCGUGGUGGAAUAGUGCACAAUUGGCGCAAGCCUGAUGCAGCCAUGCCGCGUGUAUGAAGAAGGCCUUCGGGUUGUAAAGUACUUUCAGCGGGGAGGCGUUACCCGCAGAAGAAGCACCGGCUAACUCCGUGCCAGCAGCCGCGGUAAUAC
rnacentral:rRNA from 1 species